rnacentral:tRNA from 1 species
CGGGGCGUAGCGCAGUCUGGUAGCGCAUCUGCUUUGGGAGCAGAGGGUCACAGGUUCAAAUCCUGUCGCCCCGACCA